GUGAGUAACGCGUGGGUAAUCUACCCUUGGAUUUGGGAUAACUCUGCGAAAGUGGAGCUAAUACCGGAUAGUCUGGCUUUAAAUAAGAAGUCGGUAAAGGAUGCCUCUGCAUAUGCAUUCGUCCGAGGAUGAGCCCGCGUCUCAUUAGCUAGUUGGUAGGGUAAUGGCCUACCAAGGCAACGAUGAGUAGCUGGUCUGAGAGGAUGAUCAGCCACACUGGAACUGAAACACGGUCCAGACUCCUACGGGAGGCAGCAGUGGGGAAUAUUGCGCAAUGGGCGAAAGCCUGACGCAGCAACGCCGUGUGAGGGAUGAAGGCUUUCGGGUCGUAAACCUCUGUCGGAAGGGAAGAACGGGCAUUGGUCUAAUAGGCCUUUGUUUUGACGGUACCUUUAGAGGAAGCACCGGCUAACUCCGUGCCAGCAGCCGCGGUAAUACGGAGGGUGCAAGCGUUAUUCGGAAUUACUGGGCGUAAAGCGCACGUAGGCGGCCUUGUAAGUCAGGGGUGAAAUCCCACGGCUCAACCGUGGAACUGCCUUUGAAACUGCAGGGCUUGAAUCCUGGAGAGGGUGGCGGAAUCCUGGUGUAGGAGUGAAAUCCGUAGAUAUCAGGAGGAACACCGGUGGGCGAAAGGCGGCCACCUGGACAGGCAUUGACGCUGAGGUGCGAAAGUGUGGGGAGCAAACAGGAUUAGAUACCCUGGUAGUCCACACCGUAAAC
rnacentral:rRNA from 1 species